GAUCCUGGUGCUGCACAGCCUCUCUUGCUUCAGCCUUUGUUUCCUCUAACCCUGUUUCAUACUUCUGGCCUACUACAAAGGGCGAGGUGGCACAUGUCCCCGUACAUUUCAUUCAGUGUUGUCUCGCUCCUAGACUGGGUACUGGCUAGUUCUCUCUGUGACAACACCUCAAAACCUUUGUCAGAGUAGUUUAGACUGAUUUGUGUUUGGGUUUUUUUUUUUGUUUGUUUGAAGCAGGCUCACAAGAUGUGGACUGUUUCUCCUCAUUUGCUAUGAGCUGUCUGAAUGCUGACUUACCUUCUGUGUUCUCAGCUUGUGCAAGAAGGUCUGCUACCCAUCUAGAGUGGUGUUCUGCAUUUGGAUGGUGGUGGUAGAGUUUUUUUCUCUGUGUUUUUCUUUUUUCCUGAGAGGAACUUGAAGGAUGCUGAAGCUAUGGGGAAAAUAAAGAAGAUGCAGGUGAUUAGAACAAGUAGGCCAGCUUGGCACCUGCUGCUGAGCUCUUGAAGACAGUCUGUAUAGUAGACAGUGGAUGCUAUUGUAGUAACAUCAGUAUAUUCCCAGUCUGGACUAGAAGAGAAAAAAAAUGUACACACAGAGUGCUCAAAGCAACCUCUAGCCUGGCCCUGAACUGCCACUUUUGGGUAUAUAUUUGCUACACUUGAGUCUGGCCCAUAGAUGGAAAAUAUCGUGUACAGAGCAUUGACUGGGAAGGGCUGCUGUGCUAGUGCAGUGAUUCACAACUUUAGGUCACUGUCGGGACUGGUGCUUCAAGUUUGGAUCUUGCUGUUUGGAGGGGCUCUGUGAGCUUUGCAAGUUGACUCCAAGGCCUGGUCUUUCCUCCUUCCAGUUGUGCUUAAAGAGGCAACUUCAGAUUUCAGAUAAAGAAAAUACCUAAUUAGGGAAUGGAUAACCUUGCAGGGUGGCUUUUCUGUCAGAACAGUGUAGAGCCUGUUCUCUCAGCCUGAGAGCAGUUGUGUUCAGAAGUGUACAUGUAAGCCUGAGAAAGGGUCUUUCCAGCCUGCAUUAGAGCAUCUUCUAAACCAGCUGCAGGGUUGACCUAGACCUCUGCCACAGGUACAGCUGUACUAGAAAAAGUACUAGGUAAGGGCAGGGGCACAAUGUGUGGCAAGUGUGCUGCUAGCAUAGGAGGCAAAACUAUCCUUAAGUAUUUUUGAGAUGACCUCAGAGCUGAUGGACUUUCAGGGUUGCUUAUUGAGGAUCUGUUGGUCUUUUGGGGUUACACCAGGAAAAACUGUCACUUGAUAACACGUCAUAUCUUUUGACUUGAGGGCUUAAAUUCCUCUCUUCCUUCCCUUUGGUACUCCUCCCCUGUCCCCUGCUUGCAGAAAUACACAGAAAAAUCCAGGAAGGGACCUCAGGCUCUGCCAGCUCAUAUAAUGUCCUCUGUGCAGGCAGAAGCUGUGCAGUGGGUGAUAAGCCUGUUGGGCACGUGUGUGAAGUGACAGUGGUUGGAUAAUGAAGACAGCUGCUGAACAAGAAAACUGAAUUUCAGAUUUUGGCUAAGUUUCCUCUAUCACCCUCUAUCCACCAAAGCCUGUUAGGAUCCCUUACAAUAGAGCUAGUGGCAGGAGGGUGUGGACUGGGGGCACACUGGGGCAGGGAACAGCUACAAGUGCUUUGCACAUGUUCUGCAAAGGUGAGCACUGGUGGUGACCAUGGGAUAUUUUGUGCAGUGUGGAUGCAAUUAGAACUCUUCCCUGCUCUUGAAGGCUUUCCUGUGGUCACAGAUGGGGCACCAUGGCUUGGAUCACCUCUGUAACGAGGUUAUGAUGGUCAUCUGGCAGAACAGUGCAACCCUGGCUGUUGAAUCACAGUUUCCUGCAUUCUCUGCUUUGAUGAAACUGUUACUGUUCUUUUCAAAGAUGUGUGUUAGGAUUAAUUCAUGUUGAAGUAGCCCAAACUGCCAUGUUAGCUUAAACAGCAUUGUACUAACAUGGGCUAGUUGACUUGAGGGCAUGUGGUUAAAAUCCUGCUGCUGUAUGAUGGACUCCUUACAGGACAUCUGUUUUAAUCUGUUAUUUUUAGAAUGAGGCAGAAUCUUUUAAUGACUUUUUCUGUAAAACUUCAUGCUGGGAAGCACUGGCACUGAAUGCUGCAGUCAUGUUUUAGUAGUGACAAAGUAACACGGUCUGGAGGAUGAGAGGCCCAUUGGCUUGUGCUGUUAAAGUGACAGAUGGCCUGGGUGAAGAUUGUCUUUUGUCACAUAGAAGGAAGUUGGUAUUGCUUUUCUCCUGUGGAUGAAGGUGCUAAUAAAUAGCACCAGUCUUUAGUUAGGGCUUGAGGAAUUGUGUGAUAUAUUGAAGGCUGUGAUCUAUAUUUUGCAUUUAAAUUUUAUUUAUGAAAACUCAGAAGGGGGUAAAUAAGUCACUGAUAAGUUUGUCUUCAUACAGGAAAAUAUGUGCGGCUAGUAGUUUCUCAUUGAUGGCACAUGAUACAGUGUAAGAUUGUAAUGCAGAAGUAGGAUUUCAUAAGUAUCCAUAAAUCUAACUUUUUUCUGUCUUGUUUCACUUGCAAAUUAAAUUAUUUUCAUAUUGAUUUUUCACAGAUAAUAUUAAGAUAUAGUAUUUUGCAAAAAAAUUUAUUCAAUUUACAUCCUUAAUACUUGCAUGGUCCUCAGAGUUACACAUUAUCAGUGGAAAUGGCAUGGAAGUCAGUUUAGUCAACAGAUCCAGUACAAUGAGCUUUUUUAUCAAAUUAAGUUGAACUAAUCUAUUUUUGCAAACAAUUAAUGUGUGGGAAUGAAUCAGUUUCUUCCACACCUACGAGAACAAAUGAUUUUAGCUGUGUGAAUCAGAACUGAAAAGACUUGUUUCAUUAGCUUUUUUUAGCAAGUUACUUCUACUUUAUGAUUGUACAUUGAAGUUUUAGGUUUUAGGAGUGUUAAUCUGUAGUUGAGAUUAACUGGGAAUGUUAAACUACAGGUUCUUUAAAUUUAUAAAAAAUUAGAUUUUUUCCCUUGCAUGUAAUUGGAGGCAAUUCAUGCAAGCUGGUUUAAGAUGGAUAUUACAGAAAGGAGGAAUUAUAAUACUUAACAAUUGCAAAUUUAUCUGCGCUAUUAACAGAAUGCAGUGCCUAGGAUUAUGAAAAAUUUUGUGGGUUCAUCUUUUUCAUUACCAAAAUCUGAAACAAUUAAUAGGAAGAUGAACCAAAAAUAAACUGUUUAGAAAAAUAGAAGGGACUCGUUAACGCUUUUAAUUUAUUUUUUUUUGCUUUUGAUAAUACUUUAAAUAGAGUUGACAUUUGUUUCCUGACUCUUUCAUACGGUAUGCUUGAGAGUUCCACUGUAUUCUUGAUGUUACCAAAAGGCUUGUAUCAUGCUCACUGUUAUAUCUCACUGAAGAGCUAGGGGGUUUUGCAUUUUACUUAAUUUUUUAAAAUUUUGUUUUAUUUAAGAAAAGGGAUUUAAUUUUAAAAAUUCUCCAGGCCUGAGAAUUUUUAUGUACAUUUGCUCUGUGGUUCAAUGUGAUCUGUUCAUUUUUGUCUUCUAACAUUAAAAGCUUCCAGCCUAUUUUUCUCAUCAGCAUAUGCAAAUUGCCAGAAUGCAGGCUUUCAUUUAUAAAGAUCUUGUUCACUAUAAUGAAUGUAGCUUUCUUCAGUAGGAAACUACACACUGUUUUCUUAAGGCCUGAUUUUGCAUAGACCUCAGUAAUCAUGUCUGUAGAUAUACUUAGAGUGCAUUCAGAUUAAGUGUGUGCAUCCAUCAUUUCCAGCUGAGGCCUUAGGCAUCCUGAAGUGCCUGAGAUCUUUAUUUCUAUCAUUCAUGUCAUCAGGGUCUUAACACUGAAACGUGUUAUUACUUAACCAUGGCCUAAAGCUUCAAAUGUGAUUAGUACCUCUGGAUACCCAGCCUAAGACAUCUCUAAAGUACUCUGGGCUUUAGAAAAUGGUGGGGAUACCUUUACCAAAUAUUAAAUAAUUGAAAUUGUGUGGAAUUUAUUAAUCAGGUGUGCAUUAGAGAAAUCUGAGGUACAGUUCUUAAUUUGUUUAAGUGCAGUGCCAUUGAGUGGUGAAUGUGUAUAGCUGCCUUUCCCUAAAAGGCCGAGAAAAGAUCAGAAGCACCAAUUUUAAAUGUGUCCCAAAUUAUUUUCAUAAUUCAUAAUUGUUCUCCAACAUAAACAUGGAUAAUUGCUUUGUGAAGUCCUGCUUGGAAUGUGUUUAUGCCAGUUUAGUGAAAUGUGCAUGCUCAGGGUUUUGGAGAAGUCAAUACAAAAUUCUGUCUGGACUUUUAAUUCUUCUUAAACCUGAGUUAAUGUUGUUCUAAUUGUCAUCAGAAGAUUUGGUGAAAGGUGAAAUAACAAGUAAGAUGACAUCUGUUUUAAACUCGCUGGAGGAGGUGUAUAGAAGUCAGUCUUAAAGAAAUGUUGCAGCUAUUCUGGCAGUAUUGUACUUUUAUUUGGGACUGUGUAGUUCGUGGGAUGUGGAUUAAUUCCUUUUUACAAGAGGUAUAACUUUACCCAAAGCGUAACAACCACUAUAGAAGUAUGGGGGUUGUAUAUUAUGAUUUCCCUGCCAGUAAUAGUCCCUUAGCCUAAGAAUUAAACCGUGUGCCUAUGAAAUCUCUGUCUUCAUCUGAGGAAGGACAAGGUUUCUAGUAAUUGCAUGAUAAUACUCAUGGGACAUCUGGAAUCUUUUUCCCACUUUUGAGGAAUUCCUCUAUCCCUGGUUCCCCCCACUACUUCUUACAGAGAUUUGACGUGUACCUUGGGACUGUGUGGGGAUUGUCUCCAUUGCCUUGCAUAUCUUAGGAUUUCUGAUGUUGUUGUGACAUGGCUUCUAUGGUCUUCAUUUUGCACAUCCUUCCUCAAAAGUUGUCUUCUUCAUGGAGCUUUUCUAUGUCCUUUCAGCCUUAUUGCUGCCCGUGUGACUUGGAUUAUUAAUACAGGAAGCUGGAGGGUUCAGAGUGCCUUUUAUUUUACUGUAAUUAAGGCAGAGUAGAAACAGCAGGGGGGUGGCUUCAGGCAUGAAGAUCCUAUUUUAUCAUUUUGAAAUAUGUUCCCAAAGGUUUCCUUUUUAAAAUGCGUGUUUAGUCUUUAGAUUUAGCUCUUUUUCUGAUGGGAUUAGUUAGGUUGUCAUGUGUUGCUGUUUUUCCCUCCACCCCUAUUUCUGUGUAUCGUGGCUGCAUGGCUGUGGUCUGUCUCUUAUGAGCCCUGAGAGAUGGAUACCCAGUGUGCAAGCUCUGCAGGCUUUGUUCUACAGGCUUCUGGCCAUUUUUAGACUCUGGAUCUGAAGGAGAAUAAGCAAAUUUUUCCUAUUUUUAGGUGUUUUCCCUAUAGUUAGGUGUACUUGAGUAAGAAGUUCGUACUGAAAUUUUUAAAUUAAGGAUUUAGGUUUCUGUGUCUAGUCUGCGAUUGUUUGCAUUAUGUCAGUGUGAAAUGGGAAUGUAAUAUCUGACCACAUUUUCUUUCUUUUUAGUUUGUAUGCUCUUUAAGCCAAGGAGGAAAUUUCACUGUGUUCUCACUAUCAGUGGUUCCUUUUAGGGUGGCAUUAUUGCCCUGGAAUGCUCUCAAGUUACACACCUUGAAGGAAACGACAUUUUUGUGAUUCAGAACCAUGGGACUUCCUCCAGGAGGCUCUGAGAAGAAAAGUUUUGCAUGUACAAGAGGCUGAAAGUGAUCUAAAAGUCCUAGUGGAGUAACUGGUAGCUAGGAACUGGUAGAUUUUGGGUUGUAAGUGCAGAGUGAAGGCUGGAGCCUGUGGUAUUUAAUAUUUCUGCCUGUAAUGGGUAAUAGGUAUCUUUCUUAAACUCACAACACUUAAUCUGUCAGAAUAGACUUUCUGAGAAGCAGGUCAUCUGUGUCACAGGGAACAGGCACACACAUUUUCCUUCCAGACCAGCUUUAACUAGUUGUAGUAAAAUGCCUUAGGUCAUGUGGCAUCAUAUCCCUGCAUAAGAAGAAUUAAGUUUGACUGUGUUAACUUACUCUGGUAUGUAAUUGAAGAUUUCCAUUACCAGUUAGUUCAGCCUUUGGUUUCCUGAACAGUUGAUAUUUAAGUUGGGAAUAAUGUCAAUAUACACACAGCUGUUUUUAAGCUGUGGUUCUUCUAGCCUGGUUUUCCAGAUAACAUGGGACAACAUAGUGUGGGGAUGCCUAACUGGAGGCUGUAUCAGGUCCACACACGGUCUUUAUCUUAACCCUAGAAGUAUUUACUGGUUAUUAAGGCAGCUGAACUCCACUUAUCAGUCUAUGUUUGUUAUUGUGGGCCAGCAGGAUUUACUGGAUUGGAUGUAGUUUUCUUCUGGCCUUGUUUU